GGGAGAGGGAGAACACAAUAGUAGAGUGUGAGGGCGGGAUUAUUAAAGCUGAGGACUGGAACCGCUGACCCUAGUAAGAGGAUCAGCUCUCAAAGGAGCAGGUCCCCAAGAUACACAUGUGGUCAUUCAGAUCCACACUGUCAGGAGCAAUCCAGGCUCCCUGAAGGACGGUCCACCUUUGAGUCUGGAAGAAAUAGUUUCUUAUUAGAUUAGGGAAAAUAAAUGACCCCCCCCCCCAGGUUACUGGCAUGUGCUCCUGACCGGGCAGUGUGUCAGGUUUUAGACCAAGAAGGCUGAGGAUACAACGAACUAGACAGAAACAGCCUCCUGCCUCCCCUCACUCUGACUGUGGCCAUUCCCCCAGGUGACAUUUCUAAGCUCCAGAGGUCUGUAGUAUCCUGUCAGACUUACUCUCUGGGGUUUGCUUUUAUUCUUGACCUUGUCCGUUAUUUCUGUGUAUAAAGGAGACUAGAACACGCUGGAAGGAAACUUGUGGGACAGACUGAGGACAGCCAGCCUGGCUUUGUGUGCUGUCUUCAAAGCUCCCUUGUGGAUGACAACAGCUGCCCACUUGGAGUUCAGUGAGCUGAGUUUUUCCAUGGGUUCCUAUGAGUAAUGUCCCAGCCAUAGCCUCUGUCUGAAAUGAGGAAGAAAACACCAUAGAAGAGAGCAUGGUCAUCUGCAGGGGUUUUCAGUUGUCACAUCAGUGAGGCCAGUGUUGCUGGAAUUUUAUUUCCUACUUCAGGAAAAACAUGUCGUGUUUUGGCUGAAUGAUGAACAAAGAAAAUUCUGUAGAAACCAGGCCCUGGUGCAGAGAGUCUGGUUUGGGACAAUACUUGAGGGGAUAGAGAAUAGAUUAAUAGUUUACAAGAUUUCGUGGGAAGACGGUGACUUUUAAAAAUCUCACUUUAUUUUUAAUUUUUUUGGCUCUAUAAGAUACAUAGAUGAACAGAUCCUGAUGGGAGGGUGUAGAAAUUCUGCUUUUUUUUUUUUUUGGUCAAUAUUGGAAUUAUCAGGAAUCCACAGCCUUUCAUUUAAUUUAAAAGUGUGUCUCCCAAAGACACAGCGGUCACCUCCAGAUAAAUCUUUCUGGGACAUAUAAAAACUCAAGAUUUUCUUUCUGUUGGCCAUGUGAUCUCACCCAAGCUCCAAGCACCAUGUAUCAUGAAAGCAGCCACAGACAAUUCCAAGAUAUGGGACUAAAGCUAUCUUCAAUGCAGUUUGACCUGUGACCUUUGGCAUUUAAAGACUAUAAAGCACUGUUCUUUUGUGAGGUAUCCUCUCCACCCCUCCAACUGAUUAAGACUGUGAAAUCAAAGUUUGGCAUGGUGGUACAUGCUUUAUAAUCUCAGAACCUGGAGGGUAGAGACAAGAGAAUCAGAAGUUCAAGGUUGUCCGAGCUAGGUAGUAAGUUUGAGGAUCACCUAGACCAUGGAAGCCCCUGCAGCACAGAAUAAAACUUCCAAAUGGUUGAGUUUGUUCCACAGGACGCAGGUAGCUGACCCUUGAGCUGGGCUAGCAGACAUCUUGAGAAGCGAUAACCUCCAGUUGCUGAACGUCCGCAUAGAGAGGCUCAUUCUUGGGAUAGACAGGUUGGAAACAUGAACAGAGCUCUGGAUAUUUGUCGUCUGGGCCUUCCAGGAUUUGUGAAUCCAGGAGCAACACAGAGAAGAACUCCCCUCCCCUCCUGCAAAGUAAUGUCUGACACUGGAGAACAUCCAGGGAACCGUUCGAUACAUGGAGUUUUCCUCUGAUCUCCUCUGCCGCCAUCCCCUCUCUUCCUCAAACAUGUAUGGAGUGUGUAACAUAGGCUGCUCUUGGUUAGAGCUUGAUAGUAUGAAUCCAAGGGCAACACAUGCCUGCUCAAAUCUGUCAUCACUCGUAAGAGUGGAAGCCAUGCUUGGGACCAGCAGGUGUUUAAAGGGGAGACAGUUUGCUGUGUCCCCAGCACCAGCCCCCAGCACCACCUACACCUCAUCCUCUGCUUGAUCAGAUGAUGCCCCUGAUCUUUCCCAGCUAGAGUGACUCAGGACACCAAACGGUUGCCAUGGUACCACCCUCCCUCAUGAGUAUCCUGUCCCACCAUUGAACAGGUUAGGUGAACCUUGACUAGGAUCUUGCUUUUGAAAACUCAAUUUCUUCUUUUGUGUCUCUGUGCUCAAGAUAGUGAGUCUCAUUUUGUAUUCUUGGCCCAGGGGUAGCAAGAAUUCAUGGUCAUGGGAAUGUUCUGGGCUUCUGUUUCUUCACCCUUAAAAAACAAAUGGCUUUGGUGGCACGAUCGGAGAUUGCUUUUGGGAAAGUUGAAUUUGUGUUUCUCUUCUUCGUUAACUACUUGACAUCUUGGAUUUUCUUCUAAGAUAGGAAAUGCUUUCUCUCCUAAUAGGAGUAGAAAAGCCGCCAUUUAAACCUCAUGGUGGGAUGGAUGCCCGGCGUCUCCACUAGACCUCCAACGUUUACCUGAAUCUCGACCAUGCAGGGACAUUGACCUCUGCCCACGCGCUUCCUCUCCAGCUGCAAGAGUUGCGAGAUGAGCCACCAGCAUUUGGGAAACAAGAUGUCCUGGCCAGGGGGCGGGUUGGAAGACACAAUUAUAGGAAUUAUUAUUUCUCUUAUUUACUAUAAUUACAGACUGCUGCUCUCUGCAGAGCUUCAGAGAAAGGUUGACUCCGUUGGAGAUAUUUAUCCUGGAGAGGAGAUGCCUGGAGGAGAUGGGGGGGGAGGUCAGGGGGGAGGGCAACCACGUUGAGUGUUUAAGAGAUGAAAACCUGUCUCUUUUCCCCUGGUGAAGAGGGACGAUGAAGACAUUGGUUGGUUCAGGGAAGUGCAACACAGUGCGAAGAGGUUGGAAGGUGCUGCAGAACACCUCACUGGCCACAAGAGGGCGUUCCCCAGGAAACCGGCAGUGGAUAGAGCUUUAGCGUCUGUCUCUCCCUCUGAGACGCCCACAGCAGGCACUAAAGACUGUACGGUCCACAGGACAGAUCUGAAGGGCCUGGAUUCCCAGCAGCAUUACGGACUACCCUCCACAUUUAGAUAAAGCAGGUAGUUAGAGCAAAGGUGAAAGACAGAGGUGAAGAAGGCAGAACCAUGCGGCAAGAACGUGUUUAGAAUCAAGUCACCUGCAUCCGGAGAACCAAGGGCUUCGGUGUGUGUCCUGAGAUUUGAUGAAAAGCACAGUUCACCCUCAAUUGAAGGUGCCCAACCUGGGGACAGAGAGGGGUUUGGGGCCAGACUCAACUUCCCUGAGCAUCCACAGAGGACACUGCCCGCUACUUCCCUACCAGCUUCACCCCCGCUGCAGACAGGCUGGUAUCCUGUAUCCCAGAGAAGAUGCUGGGCUCCCGCAUCCCCGAGAGGAUGCUGGUAUCCUGCAUCCCAGAGAGGAUGCUGGGCUCCUGCAUCCCGUAGAGGAUGCUGGCUCUCAUCACUAGGUACCAGUUCUUACGCAGACACAAGGAAGAGGGGAUGAUGUAUUCCCACUGCUCCUGUUCUAACACACUUUCUAGCAUGUGGUAUGCGCACUUCAGUGUAGAGGUUUUAUUAAUGAAUGAAUGAGACAGGAUUAUACACAGGGAAAGAGGCAAUGUACUGCAAUCUGGAACUAGAACUCCAGAGCUGAUGACGUCUCCCCAUUCUCCCAUGGUGGCAACUAGUUACAAUAGUCUCAUCUGUAGUGAGGUAUAAUCGGCUCUUACUCAGUACAUUAUCACCCAAUGAGAAUUCAUCAAGGGCUGUGGAUGUCACCCAGGAGUCAAGUGCUAGGAGGAGUCCUGAGUUCAAUCCCCACCACCACCGGAACAACAGCAGACCCAUACUUUCCUCCCGGUGUCUUCAGCACAGACUUUUAAAACCAACCCUCUUAUUAACCAUAGGCUGACAUGGAAAUGACAAGUUUUAUAGACAUCCUGAUCUGAUCAUCCAACACUGGGUCUGUAUAUUGAAUUAUCAUGCUCAACCCCCAGGAAUUACUAAAAUUCAUAUGGGAAAAACUGUGGCAUACCGAGUCUCCUCUCAACAGGCUUAGAAAAAAGGGGGAUGGUUCCGUUUACCAACAGCUCCAGCUGCACCAGCUGCUGGGCACGGUUUAGCAUCAUCAGUUCAAGAAGCCUUCAUCUCACCGGCUAACACCACCCCUCCCUCCGGUGCCGCGAGGCUCACCCUUCAAUUCCUCCCGGCCUCUGGACUCCAGGCCUUUAAUUAUCUAACUAGAAAUCCAAGUCCAGCAUACUGUCAUUUCCUGGCUGAUCUUACCACAAAGAGUGUUAUUUGUGGAGCGCAAGACAGUAUUUUCCUUCACGAUAUUAAGCCUGACCACUUAACAAAGUGAUCCACGACCAAAAAAAAAAAAAAAAAAAAAAUUUGUUU
rnacentral:sRNA from 1 species